ensembl:lncRNA
CUUCUUUAUUUCCCCUAAAUUCCAACUCUUAACAAACUUUUCCCCUCUAUUUCCCUGGGUUUUAUUCCCAAGCCUCAACUCCUGCCAGACUUUUUCCCCCUCUUUAUUUCCUCAGGUUUUAUUCCUAGAUUUCAAACCUUGACAGACUUUUCCCCUCUUUAUUUCCUUGGGAUUUUUUUCCCUUUCCAUCAAGGCAGAGCAGCAGGAAUGGGGCUUUUGGGAAGAGAAAGGUGCCUCUGGAAACACCCAGAUCUGGUCUCUGAACCUUCUCAGCACCUCCUCAAACCUUGAUUUAUUUAAUCAGAGCCAUUCCCAGGAUAAAAACAUAACAGGUUGUUGUUGAGGAAGGAGAGAACCCACAGUUAAAGUGACAGGCUCCCAUAUGGAGCAGAUUUCCAGCCAAAUUCCUCCUGAUUUCUGCUCAAGUCAGAGGUGAUCCCACACUGAGCCACAAGUGCCUGAAUUUUCCUGGACUUUAUUCCAGCAGCAAAAACGCUGAAUAACAUUUUUAUUAUUAUUUUUAUUAUUUUUAUUAUUAUUAUUAUUAUUAUUUUACAAUAUGAAAUGUGAAUUCCAGAUGUGGGGGUGUGUCUCACUGUGUGCAUUCCCUCCUUUCACUCCCUCUGUUUCCCUGUGGAUUUUGUCUGUGUAUUUCUGGAAUAAUGAACAUAGAUCACUGCUCUUUGUUUUUCCUCACCAAAACAGAGCUCUGGUGACUGAAGGAUGGUCCAACCUUGUCACCUCUGCUUUCCACUGGCUCGUGCAGCUCCUGGGGAUUCCAGCAGGAGCCUCUGGGUGGGAUGGAUCCCAGGGAAAUGGGCUGACUUGCUUUUGUUGCUGGCAGAACUGCUGUGUCGGUGUUGAAUUGAGGGAAGCAGUGGAAAUAAGGAAGCUGAAUGAUCAGUGUGCUUUGUUUGACAUCGUUGGUAACUCAAUACUCCUGGCUCAAGGGGGAGGAAUCCGUGCCUGGAGAUUGGAGAAAGCUCAGAUCCCAACAGGAGAAUGUGCUUUGAGAAGGGCUGGGUUGAAAAUUUGGGAUGUCAGAAAUCAGAUCCCGGGUUUGCCACAACUUUGUUUUUGCUGUGAAAUCAGGAAAUUUGUUGACCCUGUGUUUAAACCAGGUGCCCAUGCUGGUGCUAAACUGAAUUUUACACAUUUUGGGAGUAGUUUUGGGAGGAGAGGGGAGUGUUUGGCUCUUCUGGUGUGUCCCAGAUGCUGCUCUCCCUGACCUGCAUCAUAAUUCCUUUGGCUCCUGUGCUCCCAAGCUUUUUAAAUAUCAGUUCUCUGGGGGAAAAAAAAUCAGAAUUUUUCCUAACUUCAGCAGGAUUUCUUGAAAAAGACUGAGGGGUAAGCAAAGAUUUGCUGGUUACACCUGUUUAAAUGUAGCAAGAAAUGGAUUUGUGGGGUUUGUGCAGGGAUUCUGGUGCUGCUGCUGCCUCUUCUCAAGUCUCUGCACGUUUGGGGCUUUUUUCCUUGUUAGUUUUUCUUGGAUAAGUGGGAAUUGUGUGUGAGAAAAGUUUAUAACACAACAAACCUGGUCUAUGGAAAAUGUGGGAAUCAGAUGAUCUUUAAAGGUCCCUUCCACCCCAAAAUUCCAUAAUUCCACAAUAACUGGCUGCUCAGAGUCUGAACCAGCAUCUCUGUCUCGUUACAGGCAAAUAUUGUGCUGAUAAAUAUUAAAUUUGCUGUAGUUUGUUUCUUUUUGGACUUUUAUCUUUUUGCAGGGGCUUCCUGCUCAGUUUGGCUGGGAUAUAACAGAGUUCUGCAGGUUCAGGAGAUGCAUUAAUGAGGUUUUUUAAAGAGUUUUGGAAUUUUUUUCUAGCUUUUCAGUAGCCACUAAGCCCUUUAAAUUGUCCUCUGUGGCUCUUGGAGCCUUCCAGAGUCACAGAUUUCUCUGCAGCCACCCCAAAUUCGGUGCCAUUCAGGCAUUUCAGGAUAUUCUGUGUUUCUCUUGCCAGUUUUCUCCAGACUUGGGAGGUGAAACCUGGGAUAGCUGAACUCCACAAUCCUCUUUAAUAAUCCAGAUUUUAUUUCCAAGGGCAGCUGGGAAUCUGCUGCUGAGCAUCCCAGCAAAAAGUGGACGGGGCUUUGAUAUUCUUUUACAAAGUGCUUCAAACAGCAAAAUAAACCCUGAAAGAGGGUGGAGAACA